rnacentral:rRNA from 1 species
AUACGUAGGGGGCGAGCGUUGUCCGGAAUGAUUGGGCGUAAAGGGCGCGUAGGCGGCCUGUUAAGUCUGGAGUGAAAGUCCUGUUUUCAAGAUGGGAAUUGCUUUGGAUACUGAUGGGCUUGAGUGCAGGAGAGGUUAUCGGAAUUCCCGGUGUAGCGGUGAAAUGCGUAGAGAUCGGGAGGAACACCAGUGGCGAAGGCGGGUAACUGGACUGCAACUGACGCUGAGGCGCGAAAGUGUGGGGAGCAAACAGGAUUAGAUACCCUGGUAGUCCACACUGUAAACGAUGAAUGCUAGGUGUAAGAGGUAUCGACCCCUUUUGUGCCGGAGUCAACACAAUAAGCAUUCCGCCUGGGGAGUACGGCCGCAAGGUUGAAACUCAAAUGAAUUGGCGGGG